UGGUAUCACAGUCGGUGACGCGAAACCACAAGCGAAGCUAUCGGACAGAGGGGACCCAGCCUUUGAAAGGGAGAUGUAUAUUUGCACGUCAGGUGAUCCAGUCAUGUAGUCGGCUGGUCGCAUAUGAAUGCUUCCGGCCAGUGUUGGCGAUCUCAGCUAGAUGCUGCCUGAUCUGCUGAGUAUUUCCAGUAUUACUAAGGGUCGCACUGGCUAAAGCAGAGCCCUAUGCGUGCUCAACCAACAGCUGCCAUGAACGUUGCCAGUCUCUGUGUUGGGAAGACUGCACCGUUGACCGUCAAGACUUGGCUCCUGCCCCACAACUGGGUUCCCUACAAUUGCAGCCCUGAGUUUCGUCUAUGGAGUUUACUUGCUACAUCAAACACUAUGGACCUGCAUACUCUACUAAGCCUAUCAAUCUCAAAAGGAAAUCCUGAGCAACCUCAACGAAAUACUCAUUUCUCUAUUUGUCAUGAAUGAAAUAUAAUUAUCUCAGGAAGAAGGACUGGAGACUCAGAACAAAAUAUGGUACCCUGGGAAGGUGGUGGUGGGCAUUCUUGAGCUGCGGCAGUCUUUCUAAUGAUGAUGCUCCACAAUUACAGUCAGGAUGUGAGCUUCGCUGGCUGAGUCAGCUUUAAUUGCCAUCCCUAAUUGCCC